CACUUGCCCAUUUUCCUGCUUCCAACACAUGAAAUUCAGGAACUGACUGUUCCCUUGCUGCCUAAUAUUUCCCACCCCAUUGGCAUGUCCCAUUGUUAUGAUAUAAUCAAUGUUAUUCACUUCCCCUGUCAGUGGUUUUAAUGUUGUGGCUGUUCAGUGUAUAUUCAGAUACAAAAAAAAAAGUCCUGCGCUCCAACUCCCAUCACUCUGGGCGGCAGCAACGACCAAAGUACACAUCAGCCCCAAUACAUACAGUAAAAACCAAAGAAAAAAGUUACCUGGGUUCCUCCCAAAUCCCUAUGCAUAUUUAAACAAAUGGAGGUUAAUUAGUUUCUCCAAAGGCCAUGAGAGACUUUAGCCCACCUGCAGCAUCAAGGCAAACCUCUCAGGUGGGUCCUACACUAACCUUUCAUCUUGCUUCUUUGAGCUUAUUUGGUUUUUACUGUAUGUAUUGGGGCUGAUGUGUACUAUGGUCAUUGCUGCCUCCCAGGAGUCAUGGGAGUUUGAG